AAGAGAUAUGAUGAUAUUUACCCAAUCAAUUCUGUAGUAGAUGAUGAUACAAACAUGCACUACCAUCUGAUCUCUU
rfam:Cicer arietinum chromosome Ca6, whole genome shotgun sequence.